rnacentral:rRNA from 1 species
UACGUAGGGAGCAAGCGUUGUCCGGAAUCAUUGGGCGUAAAGCGCGCGUAGGUGGCCUCAUAAGUCCGCUGUGAAAGUCCAAGGCUCAACCUUGGAAAGCCGGUGGAUACUGUGAGGCUAGAGUACGGAAGAGGCGAGUGGAAUUCCUGGUGUAGCGGUGAAAUGCGCAGAUAUCAGGAAGAACACCUAUGGCGAAGGCAGCUCUCUGGGACGGUACUGACGCUGAGACGCGAAAGCGUGGGGAGCGAACAGG